GAUCCUGGCUCAGGAUGAACGCUAGCUACAGGCUUAACACAUGCAAGUCGAGGGGCGAGCAUGGUCUUAGCUUGCUAAGGCCGAUGGCGACCGGCGCACGGGUGAGUAACACGUAUCCAACCUGCCGUCUACUCUUGGACAGCCUUCUGAAAGGAAGAUUAAUACAAGAUGGCAUCAUGAGUCCGCAUGUUCACAUGAUUAAAAGGUAUUCCGGUAGACGAUGGGGG
rnacentral:rRNA from 1 species